rnacentral:rRNA from 1 species
UACGUAGGGGGCAAGCGUUGUCCGGAAUCAUUGGGCGUAAAGCGCGUGUAGGCGGCCAGAAAAGUCCGCUGUGAAAACUCGAGGCUCAACCUCGAGCUGUCGGUGGAAACUUUCUGGCUAGAGUCCGGAAGAGGAGAAUGGAAUUCCUGGUGUAGCGGUGAAAUGCGCAGAUAUCAGGAGGAACACCGGUGGCGAAGGCGGGUCUCUGGGCCGAUAUCGACGCUGAGGAGCGAAAGCGUGGGGAGCGAACAGG